UUUUGGGUGAUAUUUGUAACCACUUAACACCACUUUCCAGACUAUUUGUACCACCCUUAGCCGAAAAUUCAGAGUUAAAAGAUGACUAGGUGCAUUUUUUACUCAACUUAGGUGUAAUCCAUCCAGUACUUUAGGGUUUUCUUGCAACUAUGGUGUAAUUUCAAGUUCUUAUGUUUUUUACACCUCAGCUUAUUGGUAGUAAAAUUAUUACCCAAGUGCAUUUUUAAUCCCAUGCGGAUAAUAAAUGGCUAGUUGGUAGCAUAAAUUUACACUUGCGUGGUUCAGCUGAUUAUCGCAAAACCUAAAUGGAGUAAAUUUACACUGUGGACUUGAUAAGCGAGGGAUUUUUAGGUGUGGUUUUAUGCUACAUGGUUAUUUCAGUCUUCAGUGUUGUAUUUUUACAGCUCGGGGCGUUAUUUUACUAUGGUGUUCCACGUGGCCAAUUUAUACCGCCAUUUUGUACCGCCAUUUUACCGUUUGUGUCGAAACUUUGAACUGGAUGGAUACAUGGUGAAGCGUGGGGUGGCGUGCAGGUGAAGCGUGCAGUGUCUACUGGACGACCAAGACCGCGGCAAGCAGUGAACAACAAAGUUGUGGCACGAUCUGACCCUGAUUAUGGGGACUCGUGAGGAGCCAGAAGAGCUAAAGGAAAAAGUUACGAACAUCCAGCAAGUGUGUGAGCAGUAUGCGGCCAACGUCCUCCCUGAUACGCCAAUCACCGACGGUGACGAACUGGUGGCGCUACCCGCCUACGGGCGCGGGGCGACGCUGGACGAUCUGAAGAACGAGCAGAGCUCCGUGAGUGUUCAGUCGUCCCGCCUCAACGUUCAGAGAGCGAGUUCGAGCUGCCACAGUCGAAGGUCGGUGAAGUUGCCACAAUCCUUGCAACUCAUGCCGUGUUUUAUCUUCCG